rnacentral:rRNA from 1 species
AUGCAAGUCGAACGGUAACAGGUCUUCGGACGCUGACGAGUGGCGAACGGGUGAGUAAUACAUCGGAACGUGCCCAGUCGUGGGGGAUAACUACUCGAAAGAGUAGCUAAUACCGCAUACGAUCUGAGGAUGAAAGCGGGGGACCUUCGGGCCUCGCGCGAUUGGAGCGGCCGAUGGCAGAUUAGGUAGUUGGUGGGAUAAAAGCUUACCAAGCCGACGAUCUGUAGCUGGUCUGAGAGGACGACCAGCCACACUGGGACUGAGACACGGCCCAGACUCCUACGGGAGGCAGCAGUGGGGAAUUUUGGACAAUGGGCGAAAGCCUGAUCCAGCAAUGCCGCGUGCAGGAUGAAGGCCUUCGGGUUGUAAACUGCUUUUGUACGGAACGAAAAAGCUUCUCCUAAUACGAGAGGCCCAUGACGGUACCGUAAGAAUAAGCACCGGCUAACUACGUGCCAGCAGCCGCGGUAAUACGUAGGGUGCGAGCGUUAAUCGGAAUUACUGGGCGUAAAGCGUGCGCAGGCGGUUAUGUAAGACAGAUGUGAAAUCCCCGGGCUCAACCUGGGAACUGCAUUUGUGACUGCAUGGCUAGAGUA